rnacentral:lncRNA from 1 species
GUUUGAAUCUUUUGCAAUACGGCUUCAAAUAUCUGAGGGAGACUGAGGCUGAGAGCUGCUACAUGUCAGAUUCAAAGGAGAAGUAUGGUAUUUUUUGAGAAGACAUGCUAUGAAUGAUGAAAGGCUCUAUUUCAGCAAGUCACAGGCAGAAAAGUCCAAAACAAUGGAAUAGAACUGCAGCAUUGUUGAAAUUCCUGCCUUGGCCCAAAAUUCAACUCUUAUUUCAGUUUUCUACCUCACUGCAAUACCUUCUGAAUAUCUUUACAAUGUCAACAUCCAAUUUCACAUCUUUAGACAAGAACUGGCAGAUACUUGUUUGGACGAACGGAGGCAGAAUGGUGCACUUCCAGGUUCUUCUUCACCACCAACUCUUCCCGUGUGUGCAAGAAUGCAGCUGACGCCCGGGAAGGUGCAGAUUAAUCAGGCAUGCACCAGGUGAUGUCAAUCCGAGGAGACCAAGAUUUACCUGGUGGCACCUGCAGAGCGCCCCCCCUCCCCCGACAUGCCCGUGCCCCGCCUAUUGCCCUUCCACUCCUAGAAAAGUCGCUCCCAGCAGAUGCGCCAGGGGUGGGCUUUCUCAGCCGCCACUCUUGUCGGGACUGUAUUAGAAACCCCACCCCCACCCAGCUCCGGUCCCUGAAGCUAGAUGACCAAAGAAUAAAUUUGCAGUUUUGCUUUUAGCCUUGCCUACU